GGCGGCGUGCCUAAUACAUGCAAGUCGAACGGUCUUUCUAUGGAAGCUUGCUUCCACUGAGAAGAUAGUGGCGAACGGGUGAGUAACACGUGGGUAACCUGCCCAUAAGAGGGGGGAUAACAUCCGGAAACGGGUGCUAAUACCGCAUAGUUUUCUUGAUCGCAUGAUCGGGAAAGGAAAGACGGCCUUUGUGCUGUCGCUUAUGGAUGGACCCGCGGCGUAUUAGUUAGUUGGUGAGGUAACGGCUCACCAAGACGAUGAUACGUAGCCGACCUGAGAGGGUGAUCGGCCACAUUGGGACUGAGACACGGCCCAAACUCCUACGGGAGGCAGCAGUAGGGAAUCUUCCGCAAUGGACGAAAGUCUGACGGAGCAACGCCGCGUGAGUGAAGAAAGGUUUUCGGAUCGUAAAACUCUGUUGUCAGAGAAGAACAAGUUGGAGAGUAACUGCUCCAGCCUUGACGGUAUCUGACCAGAAAGCCACGGCUAACUACGUGCCAGCCGCAGC
rnacentral:rRNA from 1 species